rfam:Triticum aestivum genome assembly, contig: Triticum_aestivum_CS42_TGACv1_scaffold_306730_4AS
GCCUUGAUGGUGAAAUGGUAGACAUGCAAGACUCAAAAUCUCGUGCUGAAGAGCGUGGAGGUUCAAGUCCUCUUCAAGGCA